rnacentral:tRNA from 1 species
AUUAGCUUGAUGUAAUAUAGCAUUAUUGCUUUUCGUGCUUUUUGUGGGGUUUUAACCCCAGCUAAUA